AAGAAAAUGAACUGGAGUGGAAAGCAUUUUAAUAUACAGGUUCCUCUUCAGAAAAGUGUGGCUCAGUCCUGCCAUCAACACAAAGGUAAUAUACAUCCACGUGGAUCCUUGCCUUCUCCGUGUGCUUUUAAAAAUCCAAUUCACAAGUUAUUUUCUUCCAUCACGUAAUUAUUCUUGUAUUCCUCACC
rnacentral:lncRNA from 1 species